UACGAAGGGGGCUAGCGUUGCUCGGAAUCACUGGGCGUAAAGCGCACGUAGGCGGAUUCCUAAGUCGGGGGUGAAAUCUGGAGCUCAACUCCAGAACUGCCUUUGAUACUGGCGAUCUUGAGUCCGGGAGAGGUGAGUGGAACUGCGAGUGUAGAGGUGAAAUUCGUAGAUAUUCGCAAGAACACCAGUGGCGAAGGCGGCUCACUGACCCGGUACUGACGCUGAGGUGCGAAAGCGUGGGGAGCAACAGGG
rnacentral:rRNA from 1 species